rnacentral:rRNA from 1 species
AUGGUGAACAACCCAGAAUUGCUGGCCAAGGCGGUGGAGGAGAUGGACCGGGUGGUCGGUCGCGAGCGACUGGUGCAAGAGUCAGACAUCAUGCAGCUCAACUAUCUCAAGGCGUGCAUACGUGAGGCAUUUCGCCUCCACCCAAUCGCUCCCUUCAACCUGCCGCACGUCGCGAUUGCCGACACCAUUGUUGCAGGAUACCACGUGCCCAAGGGUAGCAACGUCAUCCUCAGCCGGCUGGCCCUGGGCCGGAACCCAACCGUCUGGGAUGAACCGCUCCACUUCAAGCCAGAGCGUCAUAUGGGAGACAACAUCAAUGUGGUGCUUACUGAGAGCGAAUUGCGGUUCAUCUCCUUCAGCACCGGACGGCGGGGAUGCAUCGCGGCAUCACUAGGAACAACCAUGAGUGUCAUGCUCUUUGGCAGGCUCCUACAUGGCUUCACCUGGACCAACCCGGCUGGGGUGUCGGCCAUCAAUCUUAGUGAGUCCAAGCACGACCUCUUCAUAGAGCAGCCGCUAGUGCUACAUGCUGAGCCACGUCUUUCGGUGUACCUCUACCCUCUCAUGCAUUGUUGA